GGUGCAAUCACAGUUUUUCAUUUACAUGAUCUACUAAUUGGAAAUCUGUGCCUACCCAGCCUCAGUCCAUGCUUAGACGCUCCUGCUGCUGGCCUUGGAUAUUUCAUUCCAAAUAUACCCUGGGUGCCAAGAAUGAUAAAAAAAAAAAAAAACCCACUUGAGAACAGUGUUGUCAGACCUUAGCGUGCAAAAGAAGCACCUGGCAUACUUGAUGAAACACAUACUCUCAGGCCAGCCCCAAAAGAUUCUGAUUUAAUAAGUCUGAGAUUAUACUUUGAGUAAGGUAUAAGUGCCUUUGAGAGAGUUGCUAUAAGAAGAGGUCAUCAUUACUUUCCAUUCAAUCAAGCCAGUAAUAGAUGUUAAUUGGAAACUAACUUCCCCAGAUCUAAACUCUAAUGCAAUUGGAAAAAGGACCUCUCAACACUCACAGAGCAAGGAGAAGACAUAAUGAUCUCCAGAAUGAAUUUCCAAGAUCAAAGCAGAACUAAGUGUGCCUGUGAAUGUAAGAACAGGUAACACUGGACAGCUGUGACCAUAAAGAAGUCAUCAGAUCAAUUGAUCACCAUGUCAUUUUGGCUGUGGUUCUAAAUGGUUUUUUUGUUGUUGUUUGUUUGAAGUAUCUGGCACAA
ensembl:lncRNA